CGUAGGCAGCGGGGCGUUCCGAGUGCCCCGCGCCGCAUAGCCAUGGCUGCCCGUGGCGGCGUCGCCGGCGCCGGCGAGAGCCUGCGCUACGCUGGGGACUCGCCGCCCCCGACCAAGCGGUCGGACGCCGACAUUGACCCGAGACUGGCAAGAAGUUUGAUAGCUGUGGGACUGGGUAUUGCAGCUCUUGGAUUUGCAGGUCGCUACACAUCUCAAAUCUGGAAACCUCUAGGACAAGUAAUCACAGAAACUGCAAAGAAGAUUUCAACCCCUAGUUUUUCAUCCUACUAUAAAGGAGGAUUUGAACAAAAAAUGAGUAGGCAAGAAGCAAGUCUUAUUUUAGGUGUAAGCCCAUCUGCCGGCAAGGCCAAGAUUAGAGCAGCUCACAGGAGAAUCAUGAUUUUGAAUCACCCAGAUAAAGAAGAGGGAUACUUAAGCCAGCUGGAAGAGUUCUCAUACAAUGGAAUAUUAUUCAGCCUCAGAAAGGAAUGAAAUUCGGACACGUGCUACAACACGGAUGAACCUUGAAGACAUUUAGCUAAGUGAACAAACUAGUCUCUGGAGGCAGGAAAACAUCUUGGUUCCUUCUCUGUCCGGCUUUCUAAAUAUUUGGACCAGAAGACCGUAAAGGUUUAGGAAUAAAAAUGAAACCCAGUACCCGCAGCAAUAAAAGUCUCAAGGUCCAUCCAGUGAUACAACCCAGAGACAAAAGCAAGUGAAAAGAAGACAACUCUCUACCGGAAACUGAGUUCUUGUGAAGAAGUACAGAUCAACCUCCAUACGCUAUUACAUCCCUAAUGCAGCUCACGCAGCUUCGGCCUGCAGCCAGCAAUCAACACGCUACAUUUUAGCAAUGCAAGUUGAGAAAAAGGAUUUACCUUGGAGUCCAGCUGCUGCAUGUAUGACCAGAGAUAUUCUAUAUUGGCUCCAAAAGGGUGGACGUGAAGAAACGUUGAUAUGAUGCCUGAAUUAAAAAGACAAACACUGAACAUUAUUGAGAGGCAAAUAAAAGUCUCAGGUGAAUAACGUCAUCUGACCCCAGGGACAGUUUUGUCAGGCUGAGUCGUGGUCUUGCCCUUUCUAACGGCUCUCGGCAAGCAUUCAAUAAGUGCACAUUUUGAAGACGGUAAUGGUAACACGGCCAACAGAACACUGUCUCCUGGAGCGACAGUAGUUGGAAAAGCGAGACUGUAAGAAAACACAUGGAUGAAUGAAGGUAUUUCUAAACAAAGACUCCUGGAAGCAUUUCAACUACCAAUUUUAUGCUUGAUUUGUCAAUAUAAAAUUGUAGUUAUUGGAAGGAUAAAAUGAUCCCUUUUCUUUCCCUCACUAGACUCUGCAGUAUGAAAACGGCUCCUACAGCUGUGUCAAAUUCCCCUGAUCAUUACAGCUGCUAGUUACAAAGAGUAUUUAAUCCCUAUUUCCCCUCACUGCCACUGAGGGAAGCACAAAUCCUUGCUGUCUCCCCCUGGAUCUCGCUGUUGUUUUAAGGGAGCCAGCCUGCUCUCUCCUUCUGGCUGCUGUAAUUUACAAGAUCAUUUUAAAAGGCCCAGGAAUGGACGGUUUGGCUGGAGUCUGAUUAUAAAUCAGAGGGCUUUUCCAUCGUGAAAUUCAACUGUCAACAUUGUACUGACGGAUGAAAAGCUGAACGGUAGCGUCGGGGCUGACGUAAAAGCAUUACCCUCCUACCCUCCUACCCUCCCUGCUCUUAUAACCAGAAUCAAAAUGGUGAAAAUGAGGACGUCAACUCCAUAGGCUGUAUCCUUCUAUGUGUUAAGAAACUGGGUUCCGACGGACACUUCUGGCUUCUCUCUGAAACAGGCUUUGGGAUGAAUCAAAUUUGAGGAUAAGGCCUCAACGUUCUGUUUAUUGUGAUGCUUUGGUGCUCGAAAGCCAAAGGUCAGAGGCUUCAGACCCACAGGGCAAGCAUAGGCCGAGCACAUCGUUCUGCACUACGUCAUGCUAUGAAUGGCAGGGUGGCCUUGGAUUGACCUGGGAUAGGGUCUCACGGCCCCUGAUCUCUGGUGUGAUGCCUGCGAUGCCCUGGAUGAGUGUCAGUUUCUAAAGAAAAGUUCUCAGUUUAUCCUUAGGCUGAGAGCAGAGAACCAGAGCCUACACAAGUACUUUCGAGACCUAGCCUCAGAACGCUGCUUUUAUGUGGGUUCUCUUGGUGGACAGUGAAAUGAAGAACACAGAGACGAUUAGUUACAUUUCUCCAUAAAGUUAAAACCCCAGUCUUCAGAGACUGACCUUUUCCCUGGAAUAUAAAGAACUACUGUUUUAUUCUGAGAUUAUGUUCUUCGUUUUUUGUUAAAAUGUCCUUCUCUUAUGAAAUAAUGGUGAUGACAGAAGGUAACAAUGGUAGUUUUAAUCUCUUUAAGUGGCAAAUAGCCAUUUUUAAUAUACGUAAGUGGGAUUGUUUUGUCCCCCUCCUACCACUUUGUUAAUUUAUGUUUUAACUGUAUAGACCUGGCAACUACUUCCCUGUGUCUGAAAUUCUCAAAUCUCGUGAGGUGGCACUAUAAGUAACUGCGUUACCAGUAAGAGUUAAAGUACAGAAUCCCAUGAAUGAUUUACUUAGAAAAUAAAUGAGAAUAGAAGUAUUUAAAAAAAUAACAUUUCCAUUUGCAUUCCUUAAGUGGGAGAGAGGGGGCAGAAUUCU